rnacentral:lncRNA from 1 species
GGGAACUGAGCACAAAGGAGUUUGCUGCAGGCAGCGAUCUGCAUCCUCUGCUUCCAUGUGUGGAAGAAAACAACCCUUUCCUGCUGUUUUUUUCCAUCUUUGCGUCUCCAUUGUGAUGUGAACCAAACAAAACCAAACCAAGGCAGGAAAACGUGGCUGAUAGAAAGGUUCAGUGCUCUGCCCUAAUGUGCUUCCUUUUCUGCACGCGGUGGCUGGGAGAAGCGGUGAACGCAGCGGUGGCAUUCUUGGAUGCCCCAAAGCAAAUCCCUGUCUGUGUUCUGGUAAGCCAGCAAAGCCUCUGGAAUACACCAAUGAAUGAGACCAGUUAAUAAUCCUGCUGAAAUCAGUGGGACAGCCUACAUCCAUAAAAACAUGCCUGAGCUGUGCCAGCUCCAGGUCCCUGUGGGAAAAGGCAGGCACAGCCAUGUUUGCCUUAUGGAAUUUUCCAGAUGUUUGGAAUCUCAGGAGUGUUUCUGCCUUAUUUUUUACUUAAGGUAUCAAUUAGUUGUUGUAUUCCACUGUGAAAAAGGGAAAAGGAAGCACAAGUGUUGGCCCUGAGCUAAACCGUGUUAUUUAGUCCAGAAAUUCCUCAGUAAAGCCUAUAAUCCCGAUUUCUGUUACAACCUGUGUGUAUUCCAGGGUGUGUACUUUACACAAGGGAGGAUGGGAGCAGGACCAGACUAGGGAAGACUAAUUUGUGCCUUGGUUUAGCUUGGGGUCUCCCUGGUGGAAGAUUUCCUGAUGUAGCAUCCUUCAUCCUGGUGCAAUUACACCUGGAUAAUCUCAUGUCUCCUUUUCUUCCUGCCACAAACCCAGCAGGAAUGUUUUGAUCCGUUCCUCAUUGGAGUUACCAGGGGCGUGGGGAGUCCCGUGGGCAGAGGGAUGGAUGGUUGGUACCCUGUCUUACAGCCGGAGGAGACGGGAUGUUCAUCCCACAGGACCGGCACAGCUACCUCUGCUCCCCAUCCUUCCAUUGAAGCAAGGACAAAGCCAGAGCUACGACUGUCCCACUGCCACCACAGCAGGACGGGGCUGAUUUGCUUUCAUUCAGGCAUCAGGAGCCUCAUUUCCAAACCCCAACAGAACAAGCGGGCCAAUCCAUGCCGCAUUCCCCAUAACCGGGUGUCAGAGCCGCUCUUCCGCAUCCCGCUAUCGGCACCCCUCUGCCCGGGGCACAGGGACCCGGUGAGUCAGGCGCGGUCACAGCGCUGGGCGGUGAUGUCCCACAGUAACUGUGCCCUGCGGAGCAGCCUCAGCACUCAGCUUUCCAAAGGGAAAAGCCGCUGUUCAGCGGGAAGAGCAUCGCGGCGGGUGUGAGUCACCGGGGCGGGAGGCUCCGGGGCAGGGAUCAGUGAGUGACGAGGAGCUGACCCACGAGGAACCUCGCUCCUUUGUUCCGACCCGGGAACCCCUCGUCAGCAGCAAGGACGGCAGCGCCGUGAGCUCAGAGCGCGUUGUCCUGGGAGGGCUGCAUUCCUGCCUGGAAGUUCAUGAGCAGUUCUCGUCAGGCAGCCUUGACAAGCACAUUUUUAGCCGGUUUUAUAAU